rnacentral:rRNA from 1 species
AGACGGGGGCCCGCACAAGCGGUGGAGCAUGUGGUUUAAUUCGAUGCAACGCGAAGAACCUUACCUGGGCUUGACAUCCCGAGAAUCCCCUGGAAACAGGGGAGUGCCCUUCGGGAGCUCGGAGACAGGUGCUGCAUGGCUGUCGUCAGCUCGUGCCGUGAGGUGUCGGGUUAAGUCCCAUAACGAGCGCAACCCUUAUCGUUAGUUGCCAUCUGGUAAUGCAGGGGACUCUAGCGAAACUGCCACCGUAAGGUGAGAGGAAGUGGGAUGACGUCAAAUCAGCACGGCCCUUAUGUCCAGGGCUACACACGUGUUACAAUGGUCGGUACAGAGGGCAGCUACCUGGUGACAGGAUGCUAAUCUCGAAAACCGGUCUCAGUUCGGAUCGAAGUCUGCAACUCGACUUCGUGAAGCUGGAUUCGCUAGUAAUCGCGCAUCAGCUAUGGCGCGGUGAAUACGUUCCCGGGCCUU